ensembl:lncRNA
UUCUGCCUUAUAUUUUCAGCUCUAACCUAUGUGCCUUAUUAUGACUUACUUUGCAAACAUGUACUGCAGUAUUCUCUCAUUACAGCGAGCCUAGCAGAUGUUCUUUCAAACAGCUGACUCGCUGCUUCCAUUUGCAGGCAGGUAUUGCUUGCACGUAAUGGGGUUUUAUCUUUAGCUUUUAAUUAUGUUCUUUUCAAGACGUAUUGUACAUUAAAAAAAAUAUAUUUGACAAUCCAACUGAGCCUAUGAACCACUGUGCGGCUGACUACCACAAGAUGCAAUGAAGAAAAGCUAACACACUUACAUACUUCUACACACACAGCUUGCAACUAUUACAUCUGCCCCUCUUAUCUCUCUGCUCUCAGUGAAACAAUGCCUACCAUAACAGAAUAUUAAGCAAAGGUAAAUUAAAUCCUAUGAACUUUCUCGUGUCCUCCUCUGUUUAGACCAAGACUAUAAACAAAAGUGAGACUGACUACCACAAAAUGCCAUGAUGUAAAGGUAACAUACAUACUUACACACACACUUUCUGUGUUUCAUCCUGUGAGCUCUUCACAUCAAAUGUUUCUCCUCCUCCCCAGACCUAGCCUUUAAACAAGAGUGAGACUUACUACCACAAGAUGCUAUGAUGCAAAUGUAACACACAUACAUACACACACAGACAUACACACUGUUUGGGCUAUUAUAUUCUAUAAAUCUCUUUCUUGUCCUCCCCAGAAACUGAGCAUAUAGGGAGUGGACAGUUAUGCAGGCGAUUCUCC